GUCGAACGGCAGCAUAGGAGCUUGCUCCUGAUGGCGAGUGGCGAACGGGUGAGUAAUAUAUCGGAACGUGCCCUAGAGUGGGGGAUAACUAGUCGAAAGACUAGCUAAUACCGCAUACGAUCUACGGAUGAAAGUGGGGGAUCGCAAGACCUCAUGCUCCUGGAGCGGCCGAUAUCUGAUUAGCUAGUUGGUGGGGUAAAAGCCUACCAAGGCAACGAUCAGUAGCUGGUCUGAGAGGACGACCAGCCACACUGGGACUGAGACACGGCCCAGACUCCUACGGGAGGCAGCAGUGGGGAAUUUUGGACAAUGGGGGCAACCCUGAUCCAGCAAUGCCGCGUGAGUGAAGAAGGCCUUCGGGUUGUAAAGCUCUUUUGUCAGGGAAGAAACGGUAGUAGCGAAUAACUAUUACUAAUGACGGUACCUGAAGAAUAAGCACCGGCUAACUACGUGCCAGCAGCCGCGGUAAUACGUAGGGUGCAAGCGUUAAUCGGAAUUACUGGGCGUAAAGCGUGCGCAGGCGGUUGUGUAAGUCAGAUGUGAAAUCCCCGGGCUCAACCUGGGAAUUGCAUUUGAGACUGCACGGCUAGAGUGUGUCAGAGGGGGGUAGAAUUCCACGUGUAGCAGUGAAAUGCGUAGAUAUGUGGAGGAAUACCGAUGGCGAAGGCAGCCCCCUGGGAUAACACUGACGCUCAUGCACGAAAGCGUGGGGAGCAA
rnacentral:rRNA from 1 species